GACGGAGGGUGCUAGUGUUGUUCGGAAUCACUGGGCGUAAAGGGCGCGUAGGCGGCCCUGGCAGUCGGCUUGUGAAGGCCCGGGGCUCAACCCCGGAGGUGCGGCCGAAACACCAGGGCUGGAGGCCGGAAGAGGAGGGUGGAAUACCCAGUGUAGAGGUGAAAUUCGUAGAUAUUGGGUGGAACACCGGUGGCGAAAGCGGCUCUCUGGUCCGGGCCUGACGCUGAGGCGCGAAAGCGUGGGGAGCAAACAGG
rnacentral:rRNA from 1 species